rnacentral:rRNA from 1 species
UAUUUGACAAUGGGGGCAACCCUGAUCCAGCCAUGCCUCGUGUGUGAUGAAGGCCUUAGGGUUUUAAAGCUCUUUCACCGAUGAAGAUAAUGACGUUAGUCGGAUAAGAAGCCCCGGCUAACUUCGUUCCAGCAGCCGCGGUAAUACGAAGGGGGCUAGCGUUGUUCGGAUUUACUGGGCGUAAAGCGCACGUAGGCGGAUUGGUCAUUUAGAGGUGAAAUACCGAAGCUCAACUUCGGAAAUGCCUUUAAUAAUGCCAGUCUCGAGUCCGGAAGAGGUAAGUGGAACUACUAGUGUAGAGGUGGAAUUCGUAGAUAAUAGGAAGAACACCAGUGGCGAAGGCGGCUUACUGGUCCGGAACUGACGCUGAGGUGCGAAAGCGUGGGGAGCAAACAG